ACACACACAAAAAAAACCCUCAAAAAACCAAAAAAACCCCCAUACACUUCAAAAUAAAGAAUUGUGAUUAACCCCUCUGAAUUCUUCAAGUGACUAACCUUACAGUUGUAUUAGUUAUAGAUCCCAGAGCACAGUCUGGAAAUGGGAGUGUGGCAACAGCAUCCAAAGAUGCCAAAUCCAAGAUCAGGCUCCUGUCCAGCAGCUGAAGAGGCUCCUCCAUCAGACCAUUCCUCACUUUCCUCCUCGUGAGAAGUGAACGUUCCAUCACUGUCAUGGACUCACAACUUGUGACCACACCAUUGUAACAGGAGCAGGAUAAGGGAUUUGUACUUAUCUGGCCAAGCUUUUCCAUUUGGAAGCAAGAGGAAUCAGCUGGAAAUUCAAACAACAGACCCAAAGCAAACCACAAAUGAGUCCAGCCCAAUGGAAGCACCUGCAGUGAUUUAACAUAAAAAUCUUGAGCCUGCCAAGAACUUUUAAAGUCCAUCCUCAGGCAACCCGUUACACAAACCUGGCUCUAGGAAAGCAACUCAGGAGGGCACUUACCUCAAAAUAAAAUAAAAAACCUCCAGCCUGACAGUGAUUUCUUUCCCAUCACUGCAGACAAGGACAAUGCUGAUGAGAAAUUGUACCUGUGACUGUCCCAGGAAAGCUCCCCAGCAGUGCUCCAGCCACACCACCAUGGCCAGAUGCUGCUGGAUGUCCUGAGCUGCCAUAACCCGAGUAUGGCUCACUGUUCUUCAGGAAACUCGUUUGGAUGAGCUUGGGGAUCAAGGUGGGUGUAAUCUUUGAUUUGGAGGAGGGAUUUUCCAGGAGGAAUAAGGAGAUGGGCUGAUGACAUCAAACAAACCACCCAGCUGGUCCCAUGUGAUGAUCUUGGUGGGGCACCUGUGUCUCUCAGCCUAUUUUAGGGCAGCAGCAGCCCUCUUUCCUCUUUCUCCUGGUUUCCUGAGGGCUCUGUGCUGCUCUGCUCCCUGAUGUCCCAGCACUCUGUGUUUCCUGGGAGUGGAAGAUGGACUCCAGCACGAGAGGUAGGUGCAAGUAGGACAGAGGAUUGAACAAUUGUCAGAGGAGAUUUUUAUUUUCCAGGAGAAUUAUUUGGGUAUGAUAGUAAUUAAAAUGUUUGUGUAUAUGCAGCCUGUAUGUCAUGCUCAUACUUUUCUCUUUUGAGGGGUGAACUUCUAAGCCAUUUGAAUUAUGUUUUUUAUUGCUGUGAAAUCUGAAAUUAGUGAAGAACUUCAGGAAAGCAGUUGCUAUUUUUUUUUUGCAGUUACAACAGAAAACAACAGG